CGGACCGCUCACUAACUGAGCACCUAGUACGCGCCCGCGCGGGGCCGGGAGCCGGCCGGGCCAGGCGGCGGGGAGCACGCCUGCCUUCAGGGAGCUUCCAUGGGAGGCGGGGAGCGGGGAGACAGCUGCUGUGAAGAAGCACGAGCGGCCGGACACGGACAAGUUAGGGAGAGCCUCCCCGAGGAUGCGAUGACUGCGCGCCAGGAGCCAGAAAGCACAUGAGGGAGAAUGCCACUACAUCAAGGGGCCAGAGCAUUCCAAAGACAAAAACCCGGCCCCUGGCGUCUUCUGGAAGGGGAAGAAGCCGCGCAGCGGGAGGACGGGAACCCGGGAGGGGAGGCCAGGGAAGCAAGGAGAGGCAGGCUGGGCAGAUGAUGGAAGAGCCGGGCAAAGCGUCUGGUUUUCAUUCUAAGAUCAACUGGAAGCUGGAAGGCAGAGAGAGGACGAACCGAUCCCCCCCGCUGCCGAGGGAGGGUGCCAGAGGAAGCGGGGCCCUCGGUUGGGAGGCCACGGCAGCGCCGCCCGCCCUCCCCUUCAGCGACUGGCUGGUUUUUGCCGCAGUCCCUGACCAAGGUAAACAGAAGAGGGAAGUGGGAAGAAUGCUUCGUUUCCAUGGCAACCCAGAGGGCAGUCGGUGCGGCGCUCUUGGAUGUGCUUCAGGGGAAGAAAAGGCUCACUGGAAAAGCAACGGGGAGACCGGCCCCUUCCACAGACGCACGAGUGAGCUGGAGAUGCCCACCCUCCCCCCUCCAGGGGACAGGUGCUUUCCAUUUGUCGCCACGUCACUCCAGCUGCUGACCACAACUCCUGCACGCUGAGGGCAUCAGAAACCUCUUCUGGUUUCCAGGCUUCAUAAGAGAUUCGUCAGAAACUGGCUCCACCUCAGGCAUGGGCCUUCCUGGCUUGGGGCGGGGGGCGGGGGCGGGGUUGGGGUGGGGGGGUUCACUGUUCGGUUCUCACCUUUGUAGGCAGAAAUGGGAGAAAACCUGGGACAGAAGGAGGUGGGAGGCAGUAAGCUUCCUGCCCCCCGCAAAGCAGAAAGAACGUGGAUGCUUUGUGGGAAGCUGGAGGGAGGUGCCUCAGUUUCCCCGGGCAGAUGCAUCGAGAACCCUGGCAGCGGGACUACAGGCCUGGGAAGUGCUCACCUACACGUCGUGCAGUCCACACCCUUCUCCUUGAGUGGGCCCUUAGACGCUGUGGUCUGCCUGGAAGACGCCUUCAGGACAGGACCCAGGGCUGGGAGGGAACACCUGCAGAGAACAGGAUCGACAGACUUGCUUUUCCCUUGCAAAACACCCCAAAGUGCCAGGUUUACUCAGCUCUUUCCAUGGCUCACGGAUUCCAAAUUUCUGUGACCUUAACUCCUGCCGCUGCCCCUUUGCUCGUUCUAUUCCAGCUCCCCUUUGCUGUUCCUUGACCAGUCAGGUUUCCAUGCCAGGUCCAUGGCACUGGCUGUGCCCUGGAAAGCUCUUUCUCCAGCAUCCACAUGGCCAAUCUCUCGCCUUCAGUUCUUUAUUCAAAUGUCAUCUCAACGAGGCAGGGCCAGGGUGAGGUAAACAAGGCAACACGGUCUUCCCUGACCCUUGGUUUAAAUUGUAUGUUUCCAGGGGCUCCUGAGUGGCUCAGUCACUUAAACGUCCAACUUCAGCUCAGGUCAUGAUCUCGCAGUUCAUGGGUUCGAGCCCCGCGUCGGGCUCUGUGCUGACAGUUCAGAGCCUGGAGCCUGCUUCAGAUUCUGUGUCUCCCUCUCUCUCUCUGCCUCUCCCCUGCUCGCCCUCUGUCUCUCGCUCUCAAAAAUAAAUAAAACAUUAAAAAAAAUAUUUUAAAAAUUGUGUAUUUCCACCCCCGCUAGAUCUCCCUUAUCCCCUUCACACCCUGUCACUU
rnacentral:lncRNA from 1 species